ACUGGGAUAACUCCGGGAAACCGGGGCUAAUACCGGAUGCUUGAUUGAACCGCAUGGUUCAAUUCUAAAAGGGGGCUUUUAGCUAACCCUUGCAGAUGGAACCGCGGCGGAUUAGCUAGGUGGUGAGGUAACGGCUCACCAAGGCUGCGAUGCGUAGCCGAACUGAGAGGGUGAACCGGCAACCUGGGACUGAAACCCGGGCCAGACUCCUACGGGAAGCAGCAGUAAGGAAUCUUCCGCCAUGGACGAAAGUCUGACGGAACAACGCCGCGUGAGUGGAGAAGGUUUUCGGAUCGUAAAACUCUGUUGGUAGGGAAGAACAAGUACCGUUUGAAUAGGGCGGUACCUUGACGGGACCUAACCAAAAAGGCACGGCUAACUACGUGCCAACAGCCGCGGUAAUACGUAAGUGGCAAGCGUUGUCCGGAAUUAUUGGGCGGAAAGCG
rnacentral:rRNA from 1 species